rnacentral:rRNA from 1 species
GACAGAGGAUGCAAGCGUUACCCGGAAUGAUUGGGCGUAAAGCGUCUGUAGGUGGCUUUUCAAGUCCGCCGUCAAAUCCCAGGGCUCAACCCUGGACAGGCGGUGGAAACUACCAAGCUGGAGUACGGUAGGGGCAGAGGGAAUUUCCGGUGGAGCGGUGAAAUGCAUUGAGAUCGGAAAGAACAACCAACGGCGAAAGCAGCUCUAGCUGGGCCGACGACUGGAC